UAGUCCACGCUGUAAACGAUGUCUACUAGCCGUUGGGAUACUUGAUAUCUUAGUGGCGCAGCUAACGCACUAAGUAGACCGCCUGGGGAGUACGGCCGCAAGGUUAAAACUCAAAUGAAUUGACGGGGGCCCGCACAAGCGGUGGAGCAUGUGGUUUAAUUCGAUGCAACGCGAAGAACCUUACCAGGUCUUGACAUCCAGAGAACUUACUAGAGAUAGUUUGGUGCCUUCGGGAGCUCUGUGACAGGUGCUGCAUGGCUGUCGUCAGCUCGUGUCGUGAGAUGUUGGGUUAAGUCCCGUAACGAGCGCAACCCUUGUCCUUAGUUGCCAGCACAUUAUGGUGGGGACUCUAAGGAGACUGCCGGUGACAAACCGGGAGGAAGGUGGGGGAUGACGUCAAGUCAUCAUGGGCCCUUAUGGGGCAGGGGCUACACACGUGCUACAAUGGGGU
rnacentral:rRNA from 1 species